rnacentral:rRNA from 1 species
CGCCUGGGGAGUGCGGCCGCAAGGUUAAAACUCAAAUGAAUUGACGGGGGCCCGCACAAGCGGUGGAGCAUGUGGCUUAAUUCGACGCAACGCGAAGAACCUUACCUGGCCUUGACAUGCAGAGAACUUUCCAGAGAUGGAUUGGUGCCUUCGGGAACUCUGACACAGGUGCUGCAUGGCCGUCGUCAGCUCGUGUCGUGAGAUGUUGGGUUAAGUCCCGUAACGAGCGCAACCCCUAUCCCUAGUUGCUAGCAGUUCGGCUGAGAACUCUAGGGAGACUGCCGGUGACAAACCGGAGGAAGGUGGGGAUGACGUCAGGUCGUCAUGGCCCUUACGGCCAGGGCUACACACGCGCUACAAUGGUGCGCACAGAGGGCUGCAAACCCGCGAGGAGGAGCCAAUCUCACAAAACGCAUCGUAGUCCGGAUCGCAGUCUGCAACUCGACUGCGUGAAGUCGGAAUCGCUAGUAAUCGUGAAUCAGAAUGUCACGGUGAAUACGUUCCCGGGCCUUGUACACACCGCCCGUCACACCAUGGGAGUGGAUUGCACCAGAAGUGGUUAGUCUAACCUUCGGGAGGACGAUCACCACGGUGUGGUUCAUGACUGGGGUGAAGUCGUAACAAGGUAACCGUA